AGCCAUGCUUUAAGACCCAGAGUGCCCUGGGGAGGGGACAAAUGUACAUCAUGUUUGCCGCAUGCAGAGCUCCUAGGGCAAGGCCAGGCAAGCAGCUAAGCUCCAAAUUCCAACUACAACAGGACAACUGGCAGAUGCUCCUUGGGGAGAGAGGCCUGGGGUUAAUGGCCAUGGACCCUGGAAGGGUCUGUGCUGAGAGCAAGGACCAGAGCUGGGUCCACACUGGAAUGCACUUGGAUGGCCACCAUCUUCGAGGAAACCAGGGUCACCACCGUUCUCCAGUGACCUACACCAUACGUCCAGCCAGAGAUGACUCUGACCUUGAGGGCAGAAGAACCGCCCCCAGGCAGAACUGAGCCCCGAUGCUGCUGCUGGACCUGAAUGUGAAUACACAGGACUUGACCCUGCCAGCAACAUCACAGAGUAAGACCCUCGGAGCUCUGGAAUCGGGACGGGAAACAGCAAGCAGAUUCAGCCUGCAGAGCCUGAGAGGCAGGAUAUCUAGGAAACAGUUCAUCAAUGAGGGGAAUGAUAUUAGUCUUCUGAUUUGGAGAGAAGUAGGUGAAAUGAGGAUACAGCAGGUUGAGGUUCCUGAAAAUAUACAAGCAGAGACCAGAUCAGGAGGAAAAAUGCUUGUGAGCCUGGAUUCAAGUUUAGAGGAGAAGAGCGGGUGGUCUCAGACACCAAGAAGUCACCACAAAGGGAGACCUGCAGAAAUAACGAGGGACGGGAGGGCGAGGGGUGGGAACUGCAGGUCUAAUGGGGAUAAGGACUUUGUUGGCCUUGACCUGAGAAAUUUCAUGGAGAGCUAGAGGUAGGAGCCAAGGAGGCUUUCCUGUGUGAAACAGUCUCCGGUACAGACAAGUUGGCAGCAUUGUUAAAUGGAUGAAUGAAAGAUCCACAGAUAGACAGACAGACAGAUGGACAAGUAGAUAUAUUGAUGCAUGGAAGGAUGAUUGACAGAUGGCAAGAUAAAUCAAUAGACUGAUGGAUGAAAAAAAACAGGUGCACAGAUGGGCAGGAGCAUGGAUCCGUAGAUUGAUGGAUGGGUCAAACAAUCAAGCAACAGCUGAAGAGAUCGAACUGAGAGUGCAGAAAAGGCAUCAUGAAUGAGGUGGGGCUGAUUGGCAGCUCCAUGAGUGCAAAUGAAAGCAAAACGGUCUUCGUGUGGGAGUGUCUUGAGUCAGAAUUGAUCCAGAGAGGCUAGCCUGGCAGAACCCUGGGUCAUUGGUCAAUGAGGAAGACCCUAAACCAGGCAGAAGUCAUGCGGGUCUGAACCGGCUCAGGUCUCUCCGCCAUAUCUCAAGAGAGGAGUCAUUCUGUUGUGGGUAUGUCAGUGAAUUAAUGACUUUGAGGAAUGGUGAUUGGAAUGACAGACAUUGCUAUCCGACUGUCUCCUGUCCCUGUACUUCGAUAUCAAAAGCUCUGUAUGAUAAAAGUGUAUCAUAGCAGCUGGUAUAGGUUAAGCAGCUGCAAGGGGCUCUGGUGCCAACUGGAAG